rnacentral:rRNA from 1 species
GGAGAAAGACAGACAGAGUUUUAGGGUGAGCAGCCUGCGCUUAGUUGCGCGGCUCUGGCCUGGGAGCUUGUUAUUGGCUGUUUUUUUUGCAGUUCCGUUGAAAAUCCAUACACACUGUGAUGAUUAUUUUCAUGCUUUACUUCUUUGCCUUCGGGCAAAGGUAUAAACACAAACAACCUUUUUUUUUUAUUAACUGAUAAUCAAGAAAUUUUCUAUUGAAAUUAUAAAUAUUUUAAAACUUUCAACAACGGAUCUCUUGGUUCUCGCAUCGAUGAAAAACGUAGCGAAUUGCGAUAAGUAAUGUGAAUUGCAAAUUCUCGUGAAUCAUUGAAUUUUUGAACGCACAUUGCGCCCUCUGGUAUUCCAGGGGGCAUGCCUGUUUGAGCGUCAUUUCCUUCUCAAAAUACUAAUUUUGGUUGUGAGUGAUACUCUGUGUAAAAAACAGGGUUAACUUGAAAAUGCUAGCCCUCGCUGCUUUUCGUCUUGUAGAUUGGAAAGGAUUUUUGGAGCAUUUAAUGUAUUUAGGUAUUCAUACCAACUUUCGUUGAAUUCUGAUUUUCUUGGCUGAUAUUGCGUGACCGAAGAAGACGGGCCAAUAGUAUUCAUAAAGUUUGACCUCAAAUCAGGUAGGACUACCCGCUGAACUUAAGCAUAUCAAUAAGCGGAGGA